UACGUAGGGGGCAAGCGUUGUCCGGAAUCAUUGGGCGUAAAGAGCGUGUAGGCGGUCUGUCGCGUCGGCUGUGAAAACACGGGGCUCAACUCCGUGCCUGCAGUCGAUACGGGCAGACUAGAGUUCGGUAGGGGAGACUGGAAUUCCUGGUGUAGCGGUGAAAUGCGCAGAUAUCGGGAGGAACACCAAUGGCGAAGGCAGGUCACUGGGCCGCAACUGACGCUGAGGAGCGAAAGCAUGGGGAGCGAACAGG
rnacentral:rRNA from 1 species